rnacentral:rRNA from 1 species
UACGGAGGGUGCAAGCGUUAAUCGGAAUUACUGGGCGUAAAGCGAGCGCAGGCGGUCUUUUAAGUCUGAUGUGAAAGCCCCCGGCUUAACCGGGGAGGGUCAUUGGAAACUGGGAGACUUGAGUGCAGAAGAGGAAAGCGGAAUUCCAUGUGUAGCGGUGAAAUGCGUAGAUAUAUGGAGGAACACCAGUGGCGAAGGCGGCUUUCUGGUCUGUAACUGACGCUGAGGCUCGAAAGCGUGGGGAGCAAACAGGAUUAGAUACCCUGGUAGUCCACGCCGUAAACGAUGAGUGCUAAGUGUUGGAGGGUUUCCGCCCUUCAGUGCUGCAGCAAACGCAUUAAGCACUCCGCCUGGGGAGUACGACCGCAAGGUUGAA